AAAGUACUCCCUCCGUCCCAAAAUUCUUGUCUUAGAUUUGUCUAGAUAUGGAUGUAUCAAGUCACAUUUUAGUAUUAGAUACAUCCGUAUCUAGACAAAUCUAAGACAAGAAAUCUGGGACAGAGGGAGUAGUUG
rnacentral:pre_miRNA from 1 species